CAAUUGCAUUAUAAUGUACACAAUUUACAAAAUGUGCAAGUACAGUGUAGAGUAUAAAUGAAUAUUUACAACAAGAAGAAAGCAAAAAGGGCAAUUCUUGCUGGUUCUCUUGGGAAAGGAGGGUGACAGCUUGAGGAUGGUGGAGAUAAAAGAAUGCCGAUAAAUAGAUGGGAUUUUAACAAAAGAGGGCAGCUUGAAUUAGUCUAAAAGCUAGUCUAAAGUUGAUUCCCCCCAAGCAAUUCAUAAGAAUGCUCCUCUUUCCAUAUGAUAUUGCUCUUAUGUAGAAGAUGUCCACAGCCCCAUCCGCGUACCCUUCCCUGUUCAAUUACAGACAGCAACAUCAGCAACAACUCUUCUGCAUCUUUCUUGGAUGCCAGUUCCAAAUUUGUCUGGAACAGUGGGAGACGAGUUGAAGGAAUACUCCAGUGCUUUGUCCUUGUUCCACCACCUUUUUUGGACUGGUGCUGGUUCUGCCUCAGCCUUGCAUCUGAACUGCUUCCAACAAUAUGCAC
rnacentral:misc_RNA from 1 species